UACGUAGGGGGCAAGCGUUGUCCGGAAUUAUUGGGCGUAAAGAGCGUGUAGGCGGCCAGAUAAGUCCGCUGUGAAAUCUCGAGGCUCAACUUCGAGCUGUCGGUGGAAACUAUCUGGCUAGAGUCCGGAAGAGGAGAAUGGAAUUCCUGGUGUAGCGGUGAAAUGCGCAGAUAUCAGGAAGAACACCCGUGGUGAAGGCGGUUCUCUGGGACGGUACUGACGCUGAGACGCGAAAGCGUGGGGGAGCGAACAGG
rnacentral:rRNA from 1 species